ACCAUCUAUGAGAAAGCCUCCACGUGGCAGAUGGUGGGCAACGCAGCGAUACUGCGGCUGAUUUCUUU
rnacentral:ribozyme from 1 species